rnacentral:rRNA from 1 species
UACGUAGGGUGCAAGCGUUGUCCGGAAUUACUGGGCGUAAAGAGCUCGUAGGUGGUUUGUCGCGUCGUCUGUGAAAGCCCCGGGGCUUAACUCCGGGUCUGCAGGCGAUACGGGCAUAACUAGAGUGCUGUAGGGGAGACUGGAAUUCCGUGGUGUAGCGGUGAAAUGCGCAGAAUAUCAGGAGGAACACCGAUGGAGCAGAACGG